rnacentral:rRNA from 1 species
AUGUCUUCCAGCAACAAGAUCUCGUUGAAGCUGCUGGUGGACACCAAGUCGAAGAAGGUGCUGUUCGCGGAGGCUGGCAAGGAGUUCGUCGACUUCGUCUUCAGCCUGCUGACCCUGCCCAUCGGCGCCGUGGUCAAGCUCAUCUCCGCCGGCACGAUGCAGGGGAGCAUCGGCCGCCUGUACCAGAGCGUGGACAACAUCGGCUCCUCCUACCUGCAGCCCAACAAGGACAAGUCCGAGCUGCUCCAGCCCAAGGUGCUGCACCCGGACGCCCGGGAGCUGCUGCUUCUGCAGGGCGGCGGGGGCGAGGGGUCGUCCCCGUCCUCCCCGCUGGCGAGGUUCAAGAUGUACACCUGUGCCGGCUACUGCGCCACCGCCACCAUGGAGGCCAAGGCGGCCUGCCCGCAGUGCAAGCAGGCCAUGGCGACCGAGGUCACGUUCGUGCUGCCGUCCGCCGCUCCCAAGACGUCCUCCUCCACGGCCGCUGCGGCCGGCGACGAGACCGGCGGAUACGUGAAGGGGCUCGUCACCUACAUGGUCACCGACGGGCUGGAGGUGACCCCCAUGUCCGCCAUCUCCAGCAUCACCCUCAUCAACAAGUUCAGCGUCAACAAGGACGUGGAGCUCGCCGAGAAGUUCGUCAGCGUCGGCAUGGACGAGGGGCUCGGCCUCCUCAAGGCGGCACUUCGCUCCGACACCGUGCUCUCCGACGUGUUCCUCGUCAAGAAGAAGUGA